AGCAUGCAGUUCAAAAGCUAAACCUCCCAUUGGAGAACAGAAAAUUUAAUGAGCUUUUAAUGGAAUGCAAUGCUCAGAGUAGUAAAUUAUUUGUUAGUUGACGAUGCAAUCAGCAUGCUGAUUAAGGUUGCUUGGUUUUUUACUAAACAUUAACUGAAUGAAAACGGGUAGUCCUUGUUCUGCUUGGGGGGCUUUAAGGAAGCAAAUGGACUUUCAGAACAGAGAUUGUCAAUAAAGGUAUUUACUAUGGAGCUCUGGAACAAAUUUGGAAACGAGAGGACAAAGAGAGAUUUACAAUUGGAAUGGGUUGACACACGCCUUCUGGGAUAUGGUUUGAAGAUUCUGUCACCAGGAAUAUCCAUUCUGACAUUUGGAUGUAUCCUCUGAGAAGGUGCCCAUGACAGACCACACUGGACACGUGCUCAGAUAUUGGGGAAAGUUUCCAUGACACUUGAGUGUGAACCUGUCCAUCACUGAGUUUCCUGACGCAGAGCCACCAAUGUCUCUUUUUAGCUGAUGGAGGCUGGUGCUGCUUUGAAGCAUUGAGAGAUGCCAUGCCAAUUCACAGCAAGGUCUUUAUUGUUGAAACUCCUGCAUAAUGACAUCUUUAUUCAUGUGAAAAUACAGGAUGAUUUUCAACUAUAUGAUAUUGUUUAUGUUCAUCAGAAAUGUUAUUUGUCUUUACAAAGUCUGGUUUCAAUGAACCGGCUAUGUAAUAGAUAUUAAAUAAACAUGGAAUUUUACACAUUCAUAA